rnacentral:rRNA from 1 species
CCUACGGGUGGCAGCAGUAAGGAAUAUUGGUCAAUGGACGCAAGUCUGAACCAGCCAUGCCGCGUGGAGGAUGAAGGCCCUCUGGAUUGUAAAUUUCUUUUAUUUGGGAAGAAACUCCCGAUUUCCAUCGGGAUUGACGGUACCAGAUGAAUAAGCACCGGCUAACUCCGUGCCAGCAGCCGCGGUAAUACGGAGGGUGCAGGCGUUAUCCGGAUUCACUGGGUUUUAGGGGUGCGUAUAAGUCAGUGGUGAAAUUUCCGGGCUUAACCCGGAAACUGCCAUUGAUACUAUUUGUCUUGAAUACUCUGGAGGUGAGCGGAAUAUGUCAUGUAGCGGUGAAAUGCUUAGAUAUGACAUAGAACACCCAUUGCGAAGGCAGCUCACUACGGAAAUAUUGACGCUGAGGCACGAAAGCGUGGGGAUCAAACAGGAUUAGAUACCCCUGUAGUC